GACGAACGCUGGCGGCGUGCUUAACACAUGCAAGUCGAGCGGUAAGGCCUCUUCGGGGGUACACGAGCGGCGAACGGGUGAGUAACACGUGGGUGACCUGCCCUUAGCUCUGGGAUAAGUCUGGGAAACUGGGUCUAAUACCGGAUACGACCUUUCCUCGCAUCGGGUUUGGUGGAAAGUUUUGUCGGCUGGGGAUGGGCCGGCGGCCUAUCAGCUUGUUGGUGGGGUGAUGGCCUACCAAGGCGACGAUGGGUAGCCGGCCUGGGAGGGCGACCGGCCACGCUGGGAGUGAGGCACGGGCCUGACACCUACGGGAGGCGGCGGUAGGGAAUAUUGCGGAAUGGGCGGAAGCCUGACGCAGCGACGCCGCGUGAGGGAUGACUGCCUGCGGGAAGUAUACCUCUGUCGACCCGGACGAAUUUUGACGGUAGGGGUAGAAGAAGCACCGGCCAACUACGUG
rnacentral:rRNA from 1 species